rnacentral:lncRNA from 10 species
UCCAGCCUGGGCGACAGAGUGAGACUCCAUAUCAACAAAACAAAACAAAACAAAAUUUACCUUUGAAUCCGUCUCAAAAGUGAAGGUCCAGCCUAGCAGAGUGCCAGACAUCAUGAGUCUUUAGAAUUCUAAGGAGCAGCAUGAGAAUUCUCAGGCCAAAGCCUGAUUUCUCAACUCCAGCAAAUGUGCAUUUGGUGUUUCACGCUGAGUACUGUAUGUGUAUUCUGCAUGUCCCUUCCAGCAAAUACACAUUUGGUGUUUCAUGAAGAAUUUCGUCUCUGGGAAGUCCUGACUC